rnacentral:rRNA from 1 species
CAACCUCGGAACCGCAUUUGAAACUGGUGAACUAGAGUGCUGUAGAGGGGGGUAGAAUUUCAGGUGUAGCGGUGAAAUGCGUAGAGAUCUGAAGGAAUACCAGUGGCGAAGGCGGCCCCCUGGACAGACACUGACACUCAGAUGCGAAAGCGUGGGGAGCAAACAGGAUUAGAUACCCUGGUAGUCCACGCCGUAAACGAUGUCUACUUGGAGGUUGUGGCCUUGAGCCGUGGCUUUCGGAGCUAACGCGUUAAGUAGACCGCCUGGGGAGUACGGUCGCAAGAUUAAAACUCAAAUGAAUUGACGGGGGCCCGCACAAGCGGUGGAGCAUGUGGUUUAAUUCGAUGCAACGCGAAGAACCUUACCUACUCUUGACAUCUACAGAAUUCGCUAGAGAUAGCUUAGUGCCUUCGGGAACUGUAAGACAGGUGCUGCAUGGCUGUCGUCAGCUCGUGUUGUGAAAUGUUGGGUUAAGUCCCGCAACGAGCGCAACCCUUAUCCUUGUUUGCCAGC